AAGAAGCUGAGGUCUCUGCCAACAGCUAAUGAGGAACUGAGACCUCCCAAGAACUAUGAGAGUGAACUUGGAACUGGAUUUUUCAGCCUCAGUCUUCAGAGGACCUCACUCCAGCUGGUAGCUUGACUGCACCUUAUGGGGGACCCUGAGCCACAAAAACUCCCUGCGAAGCUGUUCUCAGAUUCCUGACCCUCAGAAGCUGAGACCCUCGCCGGCAGGGUGGUUCUGUGGAGUCCGGGUGUGUUUUCCUGUUGGCUUUGAUUGUUUCUUUCAUCCAUUCGUGACCAUUGCACCAUGUGUCAGAAAUGGAACUAGGUGACUUUGCACGGGGAUGGAGAAGCUGAGGCAAGAGGUGUGGAAUGAUUUGCCCAAGGAGACCCAGGACACGUGAGCAUGGGCGAACACUUUUUAAUUAUCCUGAUCAAGUGUCGGGGACACCUUCUAGCUGACCCCACCUGUAGUAAAUUAUGAUGUCCUGGAAGGAGGUAAAUUGAUUGAGGGCUGGUGGGCGGAACAGCCUCACAACCUGGCUCUAAGUGGCCGUCCCUUCAGAUGACCCCAGCAGACCCCCCUGUCCUCCGGCUCCGCUUUCCAAACCCACCCUGUUUGUAAUUCCUCAGCAGGGUUUUAAGCUCUGCUGUACUGUCUCAGUUUUACUCCAAAAAUAUGUUGAUCCAAAUAUGCUCUUAGUGUCAUGCUUUAUUAAUGCACUGCGUCUCAUAUUAGCAAGUGCUUUUGAGUCAUAUGCCCUGCAGAAGUUACUGGGUAUCAUUGUUUACCCUGAGUUUAAAAAAAAAAAAAUUCCGUGUGGUCUGACCUCAUGAUACCUAAACCCUGCC